rnacentral:rRNA from 1 species
ACGAAGGUGGCAAGCGUUGUUCGGAUUCACUGGGCAUAAAGGGCGUGUAGGCGGCCUGGUAAGCGGAGUGUGAAAGCCCGGGGCUCAACCCCGGAACUGCAUUCCGAACUGCCGGGCUAGAGGAUAGGAGGGGGGUCUGGAACUCUAGGUGGAGCGGUGAAAUGCGUAGAUAUCUAGAGGAACGCCGGUGGCGAAAGCGAGACCCUGGCCUAUCCCUGACGCUGAGGCGCGAAAGCGUGGGUAGCAAACAGG